rnacentral:lncRNA from 1 species
UUUUUACUCCUUGCUUCCGCUAGUCUCAAAUUGGGUUCCUAGCAUCAUUCCUAGGUCCAUUAGCUCGUGCAUAGCUAAGUGGACUUGAUUUUGCUAGAAGAGAGGUUUGUGGAUUGAUUUGGGAUUUAGCCGAGGUUCUUUGAGAAAUUUUGAAUCGGCUCCCAUUCACCCCCCCUCUGGUCGCCUAUCUUGGUCCUUCAAAACAUCGUUAAAGAAACUGAAAGCCAAAGGACUCGGGGCAGGGCAACAAAUGCAUAGAGAGUAAAACGACAUCUUCAACUAGCCGCCCAGCUCCCAAUUAUGAACCUUGAUAGAGCAUUCGAAGCAGUGGCAAACACGGCAACACAAUACGCCACUCGCCACUAUUGCCUCCAUCGACCUCAUUA